UGGGCAAUUGCACUAAGGUGACUGUGGGGCUACUGGUCGACACCUGGCCUGCAGCUACGGAUGCCUGGAGUAAAUGUAAAUCAUAUACCCUUUACCUUCAACAGACUAAAGGUUAAAUAAAGACGUUGUUUGGACCGAGUCAAGUUGUGUCCUCUCUGCCUCACAGCUGUCCAGUACCAGGACAUGACAGUGGUGAGUUUGUGCCACACUGAACCUUCAGGUCAUAACGUGUCAUUCUGGACGCACUGACUCUUCCCGGCAGAGGCCGAUGCUGCAGCUCAGUGACACAGAGCGUGAGGUCAUCCAUCAGAGAAGGCUAGUGUCUGUUAAUGUGUCACGACUGACUAAAGACAUGGUCACAGUCAAGGACAGGACAACGGAACAGCUACAUUUGGACGUCCUGUGGUUUCAUGGGAGGAGAACGGGGCAUGUUUGUAAAGGAUCGCAAGUUUGAAUCCCAUGUGCCGUGCUCCAGAAAACCCCUCCUCCUCCUCCCCUCUCCAUCCCCCCAGGAAUCAGUUGAUGGUUUAAACAAAGCAGAGGACAAUACAGUUGGUCAUUCUUCUUUUUCUAUUGAAUUAUUCCUCAAAUGCUUUUAUACACAGCAAAAGAAUAAUAAAAAAAAACAUGUUAACAUCAGUGUUACUAAGAGCCACAUGAUGGAUGAGAGCUUGGUUUUCUCCAGGCACUCCCACGGUCUACAAAUGUGCAGGAUCAGGUUCAUCGUUCAUUCUAAAUGUAGGCGUGAAUGAAUCUUUUUAGAUUCACGGAGAUAAAUAGGCCGUCAUAACAAUAACAACAUUAUGUUUUCAUUUACUUCCAGUAAGUUAGGUCUGUGCACUCACAUACAGCCAACACUGAUCUAAUACAUGCCAUAUAUGUUAUAUUUUAAUUUCCUUCUCAGGUUCACAAUAACUAAUAAAAGAAACCUUGACCUUGACCUUGAGGUUGAGGUUGAAGCCAAUCCCAGCAGUCACCAAGUGAGGGCAGGGUCCAGGUCGUAUAUAUAUAUGUAUAUAUGUAUAUAUGUAUUCACACUCACAUUCACACCAACAACAUGGUCAGUUUACCCCAUAUGUUUCACAAUAUGUUCCAUUAUUUUCUUCUUCUUCUUCUUGUUUUUUUUAUUUUUUGGAGAAAGUUUCAAGUUCCCCCAGACUUGAUGGUCUUCAGGCCUGGACCAUGGGCUUCACUCCAUAGACUCUGGUAGGACUGACUAAGGUAAAUCCAAGUCCUGCAGUUUUCACAGUCGGUCUUUACAGGGAUUUCUUCUAAUUCCUUUGAUAUUUUCCUUUUGAAAUAUUUGAGUGUAGAUGGCAACAGGACUAAAUGAUCAUUUCUAAAUUCUUGUGCUAAUUCACAGACAGAUUUCCAUUCUUGCUUGGAGACCAAGCCUUUUGCACAGAAAGUUUUCUCUAUACAGCGAUUGUGACAUUUGGGAAAUGUUUCACUUCCACCUGUGCCUUUGUUCUGAACAGCGUUGAUCUCUUUGAACUUCGUGAUAAAACUCCUUCCCCCUGUUCUUGACACGUGGAAACAUUUUCCACACUUUUGUGCGUCCUUCUCUUUCUUUGUCAGCGUAAAACAUUUUUCCUUCUGAAGUCCUUUGUUGUUGACACAAUGCCUUCACGAGUGACGGCUCAGACUAUGAACUCUGAAAGCUCUUUUAUGUCGAGUGUAUUUGAAAGAUAGAGUUUGGGCUCGUGGUUCGCAGGGUUACUGUUUUAAUGUGUAUCGUUGGUUUGUGUUACGGUCUGAAACACUCUCCCAGCUUUAGGGAAAUGGAUUGUUUUUGUUUCAAGGUAAACCAUUACACCUCCUAGAUUAAGCUCAUGUAUUUUGCUCUGAGAUUCAUAAAAUAUCUCGCACUGAACCAAGUCAACAUGAAAAAACUGUAUUUAUUGUUUGCCACAUAUAUAUGUAUAUAUAAAUAUACCAAAAAGCCAUGGGAAAUCAAAUCAUGCUGUCGUCCCUCACCUCUGUUUUGCUGCCGAGUUCAAAGGUUGCCAUGGCUACCAGCAUCCCAGCAGGACCAAGGUGCGCUCUGCCCCGGAGCCAUCAGAGUAAACGUGCUCUGCCGACGGGUGGUGAGAAUACAUUGACCUCUGACCCAUCAAGGCCCUUGUAGUGCUGGUGAACAGGGAGCAGAGGAGGUGGAGGAGAUGUUGUAAAUUCAUCUGAUCCCGCUCACAGGAGCCACAGGCUGGUGGGGGCGUAGUGGCCUCGUCGCGUCUGAGCCCUGAGACUCAGGCCAGCUGUCUCCAGGAUUUCAGAGGAGGCCGUGGGCGAGAGAGAUAGCCUGCCCUCUAAUCCACAGAGUCUCUCUCACCUUGUUUCGCAGAUAGUUCCAUGUAUUGUGUCAGAUCUUUGCACCUGUCACAUGCUGCAGCUCGCACCAGAGAUGCUGUGUGUGUGUGUGUGUGUGCGCACAAAUGUGUGUCAUAACAGCUCAGAUGAAAAGAGAGUAAAAGACACAGAAAUAUGGUGCAGAUUUGAUUUUUUUUCACUAUAAAAAGUAUUUAAAAAUAUAUAUAUUUACUCUAAAUACAAGUUUGAUACAACAGGUCACCAUCACAUAUAUUUAAUACACAAUCUUCAAGUCCAACAUUUCAGUUAACGACUUAAGAACGUCAACGUUUUGAGCAGUUUGGAGUAGUGUUUUAACAUCAGGGACAAAGACAGGAGCAAAGCUUACUGUAAGACAAUACGACCGUAUGAAACACCUGAAGACACGUCUUCUGUACUGUACUGAAUACACUCAUGUCUCCCAGAGAACAGAUGAGGAGUUCACACCUCACCAAGUCACGUUUUUGUUGAGACCUAUUGAACCAACAGUGUGUGUUCAUUUGUUUUUUAAUGAAACACGUUUAAACACAACAAUCACUUGUGUCUUCAAAAAUCAUUUUAUAUCUCUAUUGUCUAAUGACAACGACAAC